UUGUUACUCUAACCGCAAGGGAGAGGGCACCUAAGGCAGGGCUGAUGACUGGGGUGAAGUCGUAACAAGGUAGCCGUACCGGAAGGUGUGGCUGGAUCACCUCCUUUUUAGGGAGACCUACCCACUUAGAGAGUGAGCAGUAAAGAGAGAGCUGAAGCCAUGUUUUAGGCAUGGUCUGAGCGAUUUUUAUUACUGAAUAAUUUUAUAUAGCUCCUAAGUUGGUCAUCCCAAGGUCGUUCGAGGAUUGGUGCAUUGCUUCCAAACUAUUAAGGUUCGAUUUAUGGGCUAUUAGCUCAGGUGGUUAGAGCGCACCCCUGAUAAGGGUGAGGUCCCUGGUUCGAGUCCAGGAUGGCCCACCUUAAGUAGGAGUUCUGAGUUAAUGAGUUUCAGUUUUGAGAGGAACUUUCAUCAAGUCAACUCAAAACUCAAAACUCAAGGCUUAAAACUCUUUUAUUUGGGGGUUUAGCUCAGUUGGUAGAGCGCCUGCUUUGCAAGCAGGAUGUCAGCGGUUCGAGUCCGCUAACCUCCACUGAGUAGUAAUAGCUUUUUAGUUAUUACUGGCUCUAUAGUGAGAGACGGGUAAUUCAGCAACUCAUUUAGUGAAGUAGCAUCUAGCUAAAGAGACUGCUGGAUAGAUUCCAGCCAGAACCUUGAAAACUGCAUAGAUACUUGUCAGGUAGAAAGAAGCGAUUAGUCAUUAUUGGCUGAUUACUAGUCCUGUAGAGG
rnacentral:misc_RNA from 1 species